ensembl:lncRNA
ACAUUUGCUGUUUUCAGUGGGACUCGUAAAGACUGCUCUACUCCAUGCGUAGGAAGAAAUGGGGACAUGGUGACCCUGAGUAAAUGCGUGGAUGUAACUGUGUCAACUACGUGCACCAAUGGAAAUGGUCAAAUCAAAGGAGUAAAUAGAACCAAGUACGUGGGUCAACUUUGCCCUGACUCUCAAAGGGGCAAUUCAUCACCUGAACGUCAGGCCUCCAUCACUGUGCUGCUGAUGUUACUCAUGGCUGGAAGGUUUCUGCUGCAGGGAAUCUGCUAAAUCAUCUCCAGGGAGAACCCCUCUGCUUCUUUGCUUGCUGAUCUCAUCACGCACCGUCUUGCACUUUUACUCUUUAAGGUCUGGUUCUAAAAGCAGAUAUCUCAUGUUGCCUUUGAUUCCCUUCAGGCAUCUAAUUGCCUAACGCCUAUUAAUUCUAAUUGCCUUCGAAACCACAUUAAGCAGUUAAAAAAAAAAAAAUUCUAUUUUUAUUUUCCCUAAGCUUUAAUCACUGUCUACAACAAAACAAAUACUUUAUUAUAACAGCACAAAUCGAUUAUUGAUCUGACAGCAAAUGAAUGUGGAGUCGUUCUCAGUUUUGCCCAAUUACAAAAUGAUUUAAACUAAAUCCACCAGAAAUUUCAUUUACCAAAGAAUGUUUUGAUUAAAAACUCAUAAAGCAUAUAGCCUUAGAGAUCAGAGGUGCUUCACAAAUGGGGGAUGAUGAUAAUAAUAUCACUGAUCAAAUAUUUAUUUACAGUUUUUAUUUAUUUUACAUCUAAACCACUACAAACUGACGAAACAGCAGCUAUAACACUUAAGGGAGUUAAUAAUCAUGUCAAUGAAAUAGUUGGGUAUUUUAUAAAAACAUCCCCAAAGACAGUAUUUGGAUCUGUUUACGCAUGUCUGAGCAUUCCUCUCAAAACCUGCACUUUGAUCACCAGUCCCUCCCAAUUUAUGAAAACGAGUGGAUUCUCACAUUGUGAUGUCACAAUGUCAUAUAUAUAUAUAUAUAUAUAUAUAUAUAUAUAUAUAUGACANNNNNNNNNNNNNNNNNNNNNNNNNNNNNNNNNNNNNNNNNNNNNNNNNNNNNNNNNNNNNNNNNNNNNNNNNNNNNNNNNNNNNNNNNNNNNNNNNNNNCAGGAACUUUAAAAAUGCAACCACUAGCAAAAUGCUUUUCUUCCACUGAGAGAAAAUCAAGACCCCUACCCAUUUGUACAUAAAAAUCAGCUUGAAUUUGUAAUUAUUUUAUUAUUUAUUGUAUUUAUUUAACUACUGCUAUUUUCAAAAAAUUAAAGCCCACUUUUGUUAAAAUGCACUUUACUUCGUUUACAGUUGUUAAAAUGUUUCACAGUUUUUAUUGUUUUUUUUUUUUUUCAUAUUACCAGCUCAUAAUUUCCUCCUACCGUUAUGGUCCUGCUACAUUUUGUUUUAAUCCCGCACUACUAACUAACCUUGUGCCAAAUUAAAGGAUGUGAAUCUCUUGAUAAAUCAGUAUUAAGCUACUUUCUUGCCACAGAGAAGAUCAAUUUUUUUCUUAACUUAAUGAACAGAACAGCUGAAAACUGUGAUGAUGCUCUUUCUUGCUCCAUGAUGCAAGUGGCGUAUUUUUCAAAACUAUGCAUCAAUCAGUGACUUAUUGCUGUUUACAGCAGCAUUAACUGUAGUUUCCAUAAGAGAAUUUCCUGUUAGACUCCUACAUUUUGUAACCGAAAAACACAACUACUCAGGUUGAAAACACUCUAGAGAAACCCAUCGGAUACUUGAACUGACAUCCUGACACAUCAAUGUUUGGUGUAGGAACAACUGAUUUCAGGUUAGACAAGCACAUUUUUUUCUUCAUUGUAUUAACUUUAUACUGAAUGUGAAAUUGAGCCAAUUAAUCUUUUUUUUUUUGAUACUGCACCAUUUUCAUAGAAUGUUCUCAUCCAGUCUGUAACAUAUGGAGUCCUAUACUGUUCAUAAUUAAAUAAAUCAAUAUUUAAUUCAAUAAAUAAAUAUGACCUCAUGCAAAUACACAAUCAACCAAUAAAUCUCUCAUAAAUAUAUAAAAAGAUCAUGAAAUUCUGAAAAACCUGCACACUGAUUUUAAAUUAGC